rnacentral:sRNA from 2 species
CGAAAUAGCUUCUAGGGUUCCGUUAUUGACAAAAAAAUAAGCCUGGACCGAGAGAAGAUGAUCCUAUUUAGGUAAGGGUCACACGGAGGGAUAAAAGCCCGGGAGAA